CAAACUUUCUAAAAUUGGAGGUAAAACCAUUAAGACAAAUACAAAUAAAUGUGAUGCAAAGUGUAUGACAGCAUGCAACCUUAAUCAAACUUUUAACCUGACAAAGUGUCUCAUAACUUGUAAAAAUUAUAAUUUGUGUGAACUUGGUUGUUUAUUCUACAGUCAUAUUAAAGAAAAUGACACUGGUUGUUGACCAAAGGUUUAUAAUCAAAAUUUAAUAUGGCUG
rnacentral:lncRNA from 1 species